rnacentral:rRNA from 1 species
GAACGAAGCCUUCGGGCUUAGUGGCGCACGGGUGCGUAACGCGUGGGAAUCUGCCCUGAGGUACGGAAUAACAGUGAGAAAUUACUGCUAAUACCGUAUGAUGUCUUCGGACCAAAGAUUUAUCGCCUUGGGAUGAGCCCGCGUAGGAUUAGGUAGUUGGUGGGGUAAAGGCCUACCAAGCCGACGAUCCUUAGCUGGUCUGAGAGGAUGAUCAGCCACACUGGGACUGAGACACGGCCCAG